AUAAUAAUAUAAUAGAGACUAAUAAUAAUAAUAAUAAUAAUAAUAACUGAAAUUAAGUAUUUUGGGUCGGCGGUUUAGGCCCAACGAGUACUAGCAGGAAUGUUACAUUUGGUAUUAGAACCGGUUCACCAGUCAGAAAUGUGUCGCGGGUCUAAUAACUGGACUUAAAUAUUUUGUAUCGAUGGUGUGGGUCUAACGAGUUAUUGUUGCUAGUGGACUGGGCCGUACAGAUCAGUUAGAAAAAAUUAAAUAUACUUAACCUUUUGUUAGUUAAUGAGGUGAAUUGAUCUUUUUACCCCUCUUUAAUUAAUAGUUGGGAUUUUUGAAGGAACAUAUUUGUAAUGACAAAAAAGUCAUUUUACUUAUAAAAUAAACAGUAUUUUAACGGUAACAAAUCAGAAAAAUAUAUUUGAAAAUAUUAAGACUUUUGUUAGGACAACAAAUAAAAGUUGAAGUUUGUAGGAAUAUAUUUACAAUUUACUAUAUUUACAGAGAACUGUAUGAAAUUAACUCUUAUAUAUAUAAUCCUAUUUUUACCAUAAGAGUAUCAUAUUAAUAUUUUUAAGUUAAAUAUAGUAACUAAAUCACCGUACUCAUAUUCAAAUUCUAAUCCCUCUUUUUUUAACUUAAAGAACGAUUAAAAAUACAAAAAAGAACACAGUAAUCCAAUUAGUUUGUUUAAAUAUAGUGAUUGAAUCAUUAUGUUCAACUUAAAAACGUUAAUUAAACACUAACGUUACAAGAAAAGGACUAUAUAUGCAUAUAUAUAU
rnacentral:lncRNA from 1 species